rnacentral:tRNA from 1 species
UCCCCGAUAGUCUAGUGGUGAGGAUAUCUGCUUGUCAUUGAACGUCAAAGAUUCGCAGGGGACCGGGGUUCAAUUCCCCGUCGAGGAG